CUUGCUAUUUAAAAUAACUGAAGGACCAGUAGUAAAGAGCAUGAAUCUAAUACAGCUUAUAGGGAACCGUGGCUGGGGUUACCUGCUGCCAGCUUAGUACCAACCUCCUGCCCUGUGCCAGCUAUAAUGGAGUACAGGAAGUGCUAGAAAAACCUGUCUUCACUUGUAUUUGGUUUAUAUUUUCUCAGAAAUUCUGCUGCAAACCAAAUAGUCUUCAACUGAAAAUGCUAAGGACAUGUUUUGAAAUGUGCUGUUGAAAUACAGUAUACGGUUGGGGAUCUGGUUUAACUGAAGGCCCAGUUAUGAAGAAGGAAAACAGGUGAAUAGAAGAGUUGCAAACUGCAUGAUUUGGAAACCACAUGCAAAAAAACUGCACAGCAUGGCUUCUGUGCUUACCUUAGGAACUGCAUGCUGGAGUGGGUCCAAUUCCAGGCUGGCUUUAGGUUUCCUAAACUGAGCUGACUGAAAGCCAGUAUUAAAAGGUUGAACAAAAGCAAGGACAAGGUUCACUGCUCUUUUCUGAAAAAAGUGCUCGCCUUCUGUCAUCUACUUUCUUCUUCAAGAAUGGAGAUAUGUGUCUUCCUUCAGGAGUGGAGACAUGGGUGUCCCUCUCUCCGAGAGUACCAGGAAUCCCUUUCCCUGUGGAGGCG